rnacentral:lncRNA from 1 species
UCUAAGUUACACUGAUAUAUACAAGUGAGUGGUUAUUGCAAUUGUAACUGAUAAACUUUGUGAAAUGAACCUUUUCAGUUAAGCAUUAGGGCUCUAUGCUCACUAUGUUGAUUGAAAUUCAUUCUUUUGUAUCUAAACUUUGUGAAAUAAGCCUUCUCAGUUAAGUAUUGGGGCUCUACGCUCACUAUGUCGAUUGAAAUUCAUUCUGUUGUAUCUAAACUGGGAAGUAUUCUCUAACAAAUAGGAAGAAUUGAUGAUUCAGCAGUUUCCCUGUGGGUAAAUUGAAAAUAAACAAAUAAAAACAAACGUAUGAAAUUUUAAUGUUUGACAAUUUUUAUCAUUAACAAUCUCUCAUAGAAGAAUGUAUUUCAUUUAAAGUAUCUUCCAUUGUUGCCCUGAAGCAAUUCCUUGUUGCUAAGUAACUGUAGAAAAUUCAGUCAUACAUUGUCUUUGGGAAAUUGUUCUUGUUAUUAUUGUAGGAGAUUUUGUUUUUCUUCAGAGCCAUUUAGUAUGUAUAUCAUGUCACUUGAUAGCUUUUUAAAAAGAAUCAUGUUACUUAAUGGAUAUAUCCACACCUUUGUAUUGUAUUCUGAAGCCACAACAGGAACAUGUAUCUAAUCCUGUUGGUUUAGUUCAAACAAGGACUUCUCCACUGUUUAUUCUUUAUCGUCAAAGCUCUAUUUUUCCAGGCUAGAUGAAAUAUUAUUGUGUAGAGUGGUUAAUCAAAAUGAAUAGGAAAUUUUUUUUCUCCUUGAAACAAUCUUUUGUCAGUUUGGGAUUAUGUUGAUCUACUGCUGCGAAGGAAAUACCAUGAGUGCGACAAUUAGUGAGGAUUUACUGUAUCUUUGUUGGAAUUCUACUUGACGUAUUCUCUAGUGCAUUUUAGAUGAGUAGUUGUGCUUUAUUUCAAUUUUGUUCCUAAUAAUAUGUAAGAAGAAAGUAACAUUAUUUACUCUGUUGACCACUAGGAGAAAGGUUGAAUCUGUAGAACUAUUUUUGAAUCUCUUUCAUACUAUGCAAACUUGAUAAAAUUCAUACUUUACUUGGCAUAAGCUGUAGAACUAUUUUUUGGUGGUGGGCCUUUUCCGAGGUGUCAUGUAUUUUCUUUGGAGAAGAUGGUGAAGAUAAAAAGAAAGUGACAUUUUCCUGUUAUUUCCUUACUUCACACCUUGCUCUAGUGCAACUUUCUUCCCUUAGACGAUAAUUUGAGAGGGGCAUAGUCCUGAUUGAGGGGGAAAAGGGUUAAGUAUCCGGUGGUCUCUGUUGUUAACAUCACCAAAGAUUUAAUGUACUCUCUGGUAAUCUUUUACUGGUUCAUAAUGGUUGGUUAUAGAGUCAGGGACCGAGAGAAGUUGGACACUAUUGCCUUACCAUUCUUGACAAGCUUGAUGACCUUUUGACGCUUUUCUAUGUCCUGUAGUGUAGGACUUGCUAUCAAGCUUCAAAUAAUAUUUGCAGGAACCCAUUUGAAAGUGAACUUAUUUAGAAGGAACCAAAACUCCAAGAAUUUCCCUUGUUCUAGUUAUCUAGCUUUGUUAGCCAAGGCGAAAACCACCUUCCCCUUGGCUAUGUAACCUAUGUUGCUAUCGGAAAUGAUGGACUUGAUUAGUACUCUAGGUUUGGUUAGCUAAGACAGCUACUUUUAGAAUAAGAUAUGUAGACUUGAGAAACAACUACCAAAAUUAACUGACACCAGAACUGAGAUUGAACAUUCGAUGAUUUUGUUACUGAAUUGAAUGGCUUUCCUAUUGGUCUUCACGUAUAGAUUGCCUGCUGGUCCUAUUUAGUCAUGCUGCAGUAAUUUGGCCUGGUGUUUGCUUGUACGACAGCUUCUUUUCAUACCUUAAGCAAUUCU